AGGGGCUAGUGCCAUGACUUUCGAGACAAGAUUUUACUUGGGACCUUCAGUACAAAAAGAAGUGACAAUAGGACCUCCUUCGCCAGCCAGAAGAGAAGCAGUAGCACUGACUCUUGUUGACCCUUACGCACGCUAGGCACUGGGGUACAAAAACGAAGAUUCGAAGAUGCAUGGUUCCUGCUCUCAAGGAUCUUCAAAGGUAGGAUGAGUAUAUGAAAUGGGUUUAAACUAUGUAAAGUGACUUUUUUUCAUGCCAAUCAAUGUCCCUGAGAGUAUGAGGUGGAGAUUCAACCCACUGAGAAAGACUGCAGAAGGGAAAUCUCACCUUCAUUGAGUUCCUACUAUGUGCAAGACACUUGCUUACCAUAUCCCCUUUAACCCUGUGAGCUAGGGUUGUUAGGAACAGAUAAAACUGAGGAAUUGAAGUUCAUCUGAAACUUUAAUAUGCCUGUUUCUAUGAAUUUCGAGUGUGAAAUUUCACAAUUAUCUAACUUAAAGUCAGUGGUCAAAAAUGGUUACUUUAGGGAACAUAGAAGCAUAGUUGAGUUUGAGUAUGAUGACUGGGAAGGGAGGAGAAGUGGAGAGCCAGUGAAUAUGGUUCUUGCAACUUAAAGUGAAAUAGGAGGUUGAUUGAACACUGAUUAUAUUCCAAAAAUUAGAGAAAAUCUAUUUACUUGAGAGAACUAAAGUUGAAUGCUAUGAAACCCUAAUGAUUCCUACUUCAUCCUGCAUUGACCUGAGUGCUGGAGGUGUCUACGUCGACAGGCAACCUUUUAAAAAAUUCUUUGGAGGCAAUCUGUUAUUUAAUUGAUCUGCAUAUUUAUGUUCGCUCCUAUUCACAGUUAUUUACUAUUCACCAAGGCUGCCAACUUUUACAGUUUGUUCCUAAACCUUUGCAGAUAGAUGUGUUUUAUGUAACAGUUAUGGAGUCCAUUAACAUGAAGCACUAAAGCACAAAAAAGAAAUGAAAGAGAUUUAUAAGCAUAUGAAAUGCCCUCACCAGAGACAGUUGAAAUAAUAAAUCCAAAGUCAAAGGAACAUUUGUGAAGUUACUACAAGCACAUUUAUCUACUUCAAAACAUGUUUUGUGGGAC